rnacentral:lncRNA from 1 species
UUGAGCCAUUUGGACCGAUUAAAAAAUCAGAUCCAAUUCUCACAUUUUUUUUUCUUUGGAGCCAUUGAGUCGAAGUUCAAAUAAUUUUUUUUCAACUAUUCUUAAUUAUUAUUUUUUUUCUUUUCUUAUAUAAUUUAAGCAUUCAUUAAAAAAUUGAGUUUUUCAUUGAAAAGUAUAAAUCUUUAUUAAAAGUAUAUAAUUUUUUUAUUAAAAUAUUAAC